CCUAUGUACUUGGACUGUUGAUUAAAUUGGUAAUAGGUCUUACUUCUGGGUACAAAUGGUGUGGUCCUAUUUUGAUCUUCUGAUUCCUGUGGGCUUCCCGUGUCUUUUUAAGGUUUCCUGGCAGCUCUCUGCAUAUACCAUGUGAGGCAUCCCAAAGCAAAUUAUAAAGGGGGAAAAUAAUUCUACCACCUCCUCCAAUCUCAGCUUAAUUCCUGCAGAAAAGUUCUUUCAGAACAGUUGUUUCUAUAUAGCUCUCUGCAGUAUCCUUGGAAUUAUAAAAAUCAAAGAGUGAGGUCUGAGAACAUAUUCUGUAUCCUAUGUACAAAAGCAUGAAAAUAAGUUCUGGGAAGCAUCGUUACGCUGUGGCCAGUCACAGUUUUCUUUAAAUAGAAGCCUUCCGUCACACUUGGACUAACUGUAAAGACUCGGGCUUUUGUAGUUUCACCCACUGAGAAACUUUGAAUAAAAUGUUUUUUUUUUUUUCUCUCUCGCCCCCACCAUUGAGUAGACACACUCAAGUGUACUAAAGCAGAAAGUCAAGUUUGGGAACAUAUGCUGUUUACAAGUGUGUGAAUGUACUGAAUUUUAGCGAACAUGUGUUUAUAAUUUCCAGAAUGUGGUGUGUAUCUUUAUUUUAUUAUUUCUCCCAAAGUAUUCCAAAUUUAUAAUAGUGAAUGUACAUCUAAUUUUAAAUUUUUAUUGUCCAUUCCAAUAAGAUAUCUUUAGUAACUAAAAAGGCUUAGAAAUUUUCUGCUUUCAGAAUAAGGCUGCUCCACUGAAGUAAAAGUUAUGUCUAAGAGCUGAGUAGAAUUGAGGUCCUUUCCUUUCUUCUUGCCAUAUGCCUCCAGCUAUUUCCCACAACAGGAAUGAGAGCUUGUGUGUUGAUAAUCUUGUCUCUCCAAGGGACAUUUUUAGUUCUCUGAUCUUAAUUUUCUAGUGUCAGAGAAACAAUGGAAUGCCCCCAAAUGUUUCCUGGAUAGAGUGAGAUAAUUAUGAUUACUGAAAAGAUAUCUCACAGUUAAUUUUUUCAUUUGAAAUGCAGCAGAUAAUGUAUGCUUUUGUGGGACGCCAAAAUCAGGCUUAUUUUCUAAAAAUUUCAAUCAUUCAUUUCCUAGUUCAUUGACCAUAAUUCAUGUGGUAGCAUGCAGAGUUGAUAAUUUGAAACUAUUUCCAAAUGAAUAUUUAGAUCAACAAACUCCUGCUUCAGUCAACAUUUUGUUACUUACAAAGCAAAACAGAUAUAUUUUGAAAUGUUAUUGCUAAAAUUGUCAAUUUUUUUUUGCUAGAUAAUAAAAGCUAAAAGUAGACUGAUACAUAAUAGAAUUUUUCAAACUUUCUCCAGAAGGAUAACAGGUCUGUGGAUUUCAUUAUGGCUUUGUUUGGUUGAAUAUGAGAUGUGGGGAGAAAUGAAUUGGACUGUAUUUGUGUUUUAAGCAAUGUUGUGGGAGUCCUCUCUUGUCAGGUGACUAAUUUGACCUGCUGCUCAAAAUUUCUUCCUUUGAACAAUGGGAAGAAAUACAAAGCAACACUCAGAAAUACGGUUUCAAGAAGAAGAUGAGGACCACAAGUUAUGGUUCUUUCUACUGGUGACUUUCGGAGAAAAUACCUUUCAACUGAAAUACUGCAGUUAAAAAAAUCCUGAGGUCAUUUGAAAAUUUUCUGGGAGCAACAAAGUCCACAGCGACUUAAAACUAUCAGUCCCAGGGCAGAGGGCAGAGGCCAAAGGCGGCACAGGUUCCUGCCCAGCUGGGCUUCAUAAGAGAAGCAAACCAUCCCGUAUUGGCUGUAGGAGAACCUACAAGAAAGAAACAAGCAGAGGCAUAGAACUCAUGGCCCAUUUUGAAAGGUACUCAGGCUUUUCUUCGACCUGAUCAUUGUACAUCUUUCCUGCUUUGCCACAUUUUGCCUUUAACCAAAUAAAAGUAGAACAAUCCUUGGG